AGUAAAAGUCGUAACAAGGUUUCCGUAGGUGAACCUGCGGAAGGAUCAUUACCUAGAGUUGAAGGCUUUGCCUGCUAUCUCUUACCCAUGUCUUUUGAGUACUUACGUUUCCUCGGCGGGUCCGCCCGCCGAUUGGACAAUUUAAACCAUUGCAGUUGCAAUCAGCGUCUGAAAAACUUUAAUAGUUACAACUUUCAACAACGGAUCUCUUGGUUCUGGCAUCGAUGAAGAACACAGCGAAAUGCGAUAAGUAGUGUGAAUUGCAGAAUUCAGUGAAUCAUCGAAUCUUUGAACGCACAUUGCGCCCCUUGGUAUUCCAUGGGGCAUGCCUGUUCGAGCGUCAUUUGUACCUUCAAGCUUUGCUUGGUGUUGGGUGUUUGCCUCGCCUCUGCGUGUAGACUCGCCUUAAAACAAUUGGCAGCCGGCGUAUUGAUUUCGGAGCGCAGUACAUCUCGCGCUUUGCACUCAUAACGACGACGUCCAAAAGUACAUUUUUACACUCUUGACCUCGGAUCAGGUAGGGAUACCCGCUGAACUUAAGCAUAUCAAUAAGCGGAGGAAAAGAAACCAACAGGGAUUGCCCUAGUAACG
rnacentral:rRNA from 1 species